UAUGCUCAUUCUCUCUUCCCGCUAAAUCCUCUCUCUCGGCCAGUGCUCUAUCUCUCUGCCUUUUUCUUUUUUUUUUUUCCUUUGCAACUUGAAUCUUUGAUUAAUUCAUCAUCUCUUGGUAGAUUUGGGUGCCGUUUGAGGCAAAACGAAGCUUGUGUCGAGCUCUACGCAUCCAUACCAACAAUUCCAGAUUUUGUGCACCCUUUGAACUUCGAAAUUUAGGACCCAUUUCUAGGGUUUUGCCUAUUUUGAGGUCUUGGAAAAGAAUCGGUGGACGACAACCCACCUCAAGCUUGAGCGAUACUAGAAGCUCACUUUUGUGUCUUUUGUAUAUUUUCCAUUAUUUUUGCAAAGCACUAAAAGUAUAAAGGUAUAUAUGUAUAUUUUGCAAAACUUUGUCAUGUAACCUUGUUGAUGAAUGGGAAGGAUAAUUUUAGUUAAAGUAAUUAUCGGUGUUAUUUGAUUGUA